CCUACGGGCGGCAGCAGUGAGGAAUAUUGGUCAAUGGACGCAAGCCUGAACCAGCCAUGCCGCGUGCAGGAUGACGGCUCUAUGAGUUGUAAACUGCUUUUGUACGAGGGUAAACCCCGAUACGUGUAUCGGGUUGAAAGUAUCGUACGAAUAAGGAUCGGCUAACUCCGUGCCAGCAGCCGCGGUAAUACGGAGGAUCCGAGCGUUAUCCGGAUUUAUUGGGUUUAAAGGGUGCGUAGGCGGUUUGAUAAGUUAGAGGUGAAAUGUCGGGGCUCAACCCCGAAACUGCCUCUAAUACUGUUGGACUAGAGAAUAGUUGCGGUAGGCGGAAUGUAUGGUGUAGCGGUGAAAUGCUUAGAGAUCAGACAGAACACCGAUUGCGAAGGCAGCUUACCAAACUAUAUCUGACGUUGAGGCACGAAAGCGUGGGUAGCAAACAGGAUUAGAUACCCCUGUAGUC
rnacentral:rRNA from 1 species